rnacentral:rRNA from 1 species
CCUACGGGAGGCAGCAGUGGGGAAUAUUGGGCAAUGGGCGCAAGCCUGACCCAGCAACGCCGCGUGAAGGAAGAAGGCUUUCGGGUUGUAAACUUCUUUUAAGGGGGACGAACAAAUGACGGUACCCCUUGAAUAAGCAACGGCUAACUACGUGCCAGGAGCCGCGGUAAUACGUAGGUGGCAAGCGUUAUCCGGAUUUAUGGGGUGUAAAGGGCGUGUAGGCGGGAGCGCAAGUCAGAUGUGAAAACUCAGGUCUCAACCCUGAGCCUGCAUUGGAAACUGUGUUGCUUGAGUGCUGGAGAGGCAAUCGGAAUUCCGUGUGUAGCGGUGAAAUGCGUAGAUAUACGGAGGAACACCAGUGGCGAAGGCGGAUUGCUGGACAGUAACUGACGCUGAGGCGCGAAAGCGUGGGGAGCAAACAGGAUUAGAUACCCGUGUAGUC